rnacentral:rRNA from 1 species
GACGAACGCUGGCGGCGUGCCUAACACAUGCAAGUCGAGCGAGAAUCGCUUGAACAGAGGCUUCGGCCAACGGAAUGGUGAGGAAAGUGGCGAACGGGUGAGUAACGCGUGAGGAACCUGCCUCUCAGUGGGGGACAACAGUUGGAAACGACUGCUAAUACCGCAUAAUGUAACGAGACCGCAUGAUCUUGUUACCAAAGAUUUAUUGCUGAGAGAUGGCCUCGCGUCUGAUUAGCUAGUUGGUGGGGUAACGGCCCACCAAGGCGACGAUCAGUAGCCGGUCUGAGAGGAUGAACGGCCACAUUGGGACUGAGACACGGCCCAGACUCCUACGGGAGGCAGCAGUGGGGAAUAUUGCACAAUGGGGGAAACCCUGAUGCAGCGAUGCCGCGUGGAGGAAGAAGGUUUUCGGAUUGUAAACUCCUGUCUUAAAGGACGAUAAUGACGGUACUUUAGGAGGAAGCUCCGGCUAACUACGUGCCAGCAGCCG